UGUCCAGGGAUGGGAAACGAACCCAAAGUAUUCCGCUUACCGGGCAAAUGCCAUGUUCACUAGGCUACCCUUGGAC
rnacentral:tRNA from 1 species